rnacentral:tRNA from 1 species
GAGGGUAUAGCUCAGUGGUAAAGUGUGUGCUUAGCAUGCACGAGGUCAGAGGUUCAAUCUCCAGUACCUCCG